GAUGAACGCUGGCGGCGUGCCUAAUACAUGCAAGUCGAGCGAACAGAUAAGGAGCUUGCCUCUUUUAAGUUAGCGGCGGACGGGUGAGUAAAACGUGGGUAACCUACCUAUAAGACUGGGAUAACUUCGGGAAACCGGAGCUAAUACCGGAUAACAUUUAGAACCGCAUGGUUCUAAAGUGAAAGAUGGUUUUGCUAUCACUUAUAGAUGGACCCGCGCCGUAUUAGCUAGUUGGUAAGGUAACGGCUUACCAAGGCGACGAUACGUAGCCGACCUGAGAGGGUGAUCGGCCACACUGGAACUGAGACACGGUCCAGACUCCUACGGGAGGCAGCAGUAGGGAAUCUUCCGCAAUGGGCGAAAGCCUGACGGAGCAACGCCGCGUGAGUGAUGAAGGGUUUCGGCUCGUAAAACUCUGUUAUUAGGGAAGAACAAAUGUGUAAGUAACUGUGCACAUCUUGACGGUACCUGAUCAGAAAGCCACGGCUAACUACGUG
rnacentral:rRNA from 1 species